AGAAAGCAAAGCACUGAAAAUGCUUAGAUGGAUUGUCAAAAAUCCCAUAAACA
rnacentral:tRNA from 1 species